AACGCACAUUGCGCCCGCCAGUAUUCUGGCGGGCAUGCCUGUCCGAGCGUCAUUUCAACCCUCGCGCCCAUCCGGGCCGCGGUGUUGGGGUCCGGCACAACCGCCCCCCGGGGCGGCGCCGCCCCCUAAAACCAUUGGCGGUCUCGCUGUAGCCUCCCCUGCGUAGUAGCACACCUCGCACCGGAGCGCGGCGCGGCCACGCCAUAAAACCCCCCACCGCAAUGAGUUUGACCUCGGAUCAGGUAGGAAUACCCGCUGAACUUAA
rnacentral:misc_RNA from 1 species